UAGACCUCGGUCUGCCUGGUGGCAUCCUUUUUGCUGUUA
rnacentral:rRNA from 1 species